UUUCCAGAAGGUUCCAAGGGUCUUAGUGCUGGAAUGAGGGAUACCCCAGCCUUCCUUCCUGCUGCUGCAGCCCUCAGAUGAAGAUGUAGAACUCUGCACCGUGCCUGCCUGGAUGCUGCCAUGUUCCUGCCUUGAUGAUAAUGGACUGAACCUCAGAACCUAGUGUCCCUCAGCGAUUCGGGGUGAACUUCAUCUCAGAUGGACUGAUCCUUUAAUUUCUCCAAAGUAGCCCACUUCUGUGGUCAACUAUGAGUUGCCGAUUAGCCAUUGUAUUUGAGUCUCUCUUCUUCCCACAGGGAAGUCUAAGCUUUCAUUGAUUUUCAUGUUCUGAUCAGCUCCAGGAUGGGGAGAUGAGAGCUGAUUGUUGAAAGUGCAGUGGUUUGAUCUGUGUGUGUUGGCACCUGCCUGUCUUGCAGCACUUGGGAGGCAGCAGCAGGAGAAUCCGGAGUUCAAGGCUGCUCUUUAAGAGGACCGGACAUCACUGAUGUGAGAAAGCUCACAGUGGCCUGUAACUCCAGCCACAGUGGGUAUGAUUCCCUCUUCUGGUCUCCUCAGGCAACUUUGCACAUGUGACAUACACACACAUAUAAAUGAGAAGAAUAAAAACAAAUCUUUAUUUAACAAACAAAC
rnacentral:lncRNA from 1 species